GAUAAUGUCAAAAACAAUUCAAUGCUUCACAUUAAACUUGUUGUAACUCACUGUGAAUUCCGUACAAAGCAAAACACUUCAACUAUAUUUUGUUUAUUGAUUGCCAAUCAUGUGGAAUAUGAUGGAUUCAUAAUAAAGGUGUUCAAUGACAGUCUAGUGAAAUAUUUUAGCUCAGUGGCCGGUGCUCUUUGUGUUCUUUUUCUGUUUUUCUAUACAUCAGUUUAUUUGUUGUCCACCCACUGUGGGUGUAAAAUGGAAAAGUUCACACUAACACCAGACACAAGUGUGAACUUCUUUAUUUACAGAAACAGAAGGGUGUGCUAUCAGUUUGUGUCAAAAAACAUUUACACAUUACUCAUUUGCCUUGAAAUGAUCAUUAACAUAUACUUUAUAAAAAGGGGAAAUUUCAAAUGAUUGGUUGUUAUAGUUCACACCAGAGAAGAUGCUGGUUUAAAAGAGGGAAAUGUUUCUGAACUUUUAUCAUAGACUCAAACCUCAGUUGUUUUUCUCCUACAUACUAAAACAGCUACACUGACAACAUAGGAAGUUCAUGUGAUCAGAGCUGAUAAAAUGAACGCUGUCCUUCUGACUAUCGUGUGCACUCUCGCACUUCUGCAUGGAUGGAAUGCAAUGGUUUACAAUCCAAGCCGAAACUCCAACUCAAGGAACAAGUACAACAAUCGCCCAUGUCAGAGGACCUGGAACAAUAAUGGAUUCAACAGAUUUGUUCAGAAGCACAUCCUUCAGCAAAACUUCAACAGAAAUUCAAAGGAGGCAUGGCAAAUGACACUGAUAUGACUCUUCAGGUACUUGGAGAAUGAAGGACUCUGCAACAGACCUCUGCAGUCCUUCAUCAAGAAGAAGGAUGAGAAACGUGUGGUGAAGAUCUGUAAUGGUUCCGGCAGGCGUGUUCGUGAUAACUUAUGCAUCAGUACCUCAACCUUUAAGAUAUAUGAUGUUGAAGUGAACACCAGCAGCUGCAGAAUUACAAGAAUUACGGAAAACACAACAAAAGUGAUAGUGGCUUGUGACAAAGUUGGAAACCAGUGUCGUCCUGUUCACUUUGAAAAAUAUGUGUUCCAGGAGCCAACAGAUGAACGCUGUCAUGGUUAGCAAAUUUUUAUUUUUUUUGCUUGGAUAAACAAUCACCUUGUGUAUUUUUGCUCUUUGCUACAUUAAAUAUUAUUAUUUGUUAUAUGUUCUUUGCUUAUCUCAUUAAAUCCUGGUCCUAUAGCAUUCAGUGAGAAAAUCAAAAAUAUGACUAUAUUCCACAUAUAAAAGGAACAGUUAAAUUUCUUAUGAAUGCACUUUCAGCUAGAGUUUAUUUGCAGCUAUACAAAGAGAGAAAUGGAUGAAAACUCAUCAUGAUACCAUCAUAAAUAAGACAAUGUAUUUUAUAAACAUGGUUUUCAUUUUAAGCUUCGUUGUGAUCCUCUCUGUUUUUAUUUGUCAGUCUUUUCCAUACUGUCCCGCAAAUAUUUUAAACCUAUUUAAUUUCUAUAUUUUAUAUGCUAACAUUAAAACUAAAUCUCUUUGGAAGUUAACAUAGUUUUGGUUUCUAUUUUAUGGCACCUAAACAACUCGCUCUGUUAUGUCAUUUUGUUAUGAAAAAUCUAAACAGUUUGAGUGAGUUGUGGGUUUUUGUUGACAUAUUUUGAGUUUUGUGGUUACUAUUGAGAAAUUGAGAUGAAGUAACAUUCAGGGAGGUAUCACCGAUACUGAUCCGAUACCGAUACUUUGUACAAAAACUUAAUAUGUUAUUGUAUUUUAGCUUCAUCAAAUUAUAGCUUCAUACUGAUUACAGGAUAUCAGACUACUUAUUCUUAUUGUUUAAUUAUGAAGAAUUAAAUAGAAAUAAAAAACCUGAAGCUGUGUGUUAAUUGAUGCUAUUUGAACACAUGUAUCUGGUCAUUUAACAUGUAUAUACUUUGCUGUGCCACACUUGGAAUUUUGGUAUGGAUCCAAUACCAAGUAAAUACAGGGCCAGUAUUGUGAAAGAUGAAUUCUCAAUUUGCAAAUUCUGAACACAUUUUAAUCACCACUAUAUCACUUUGAUUGUUACUUUCCACAAUAAUUACUUAACACAACAAAACACACCUUUGAGCUUUUCAUGUUUUCUAAAAUUGGGUGUUUGGAGACCAUAGUGCAUGUUUGAGGUUUAUUUUUUCCAAAGAAAUAGUUAACACAGUUCAGCAGGCUACAUACUGAACUUGAAUGAUAAAAGCAAGUAUUGACCCAGUCGUGCUAGUAUUGAUCUGAUACCAAUACUAGUGUUGGUAUCAAUACUACUGAUAUUUGUAUCAAUCUGCCCACCUCAGUUACCAGCCUGUUUUUCAAUUUAUUGGAUUGUAGUUGCUUUCUUUCAGGAUUUCUGCACUUUUGCAACGUUGGCUUCAAACAUAAAUAAGAGGUCAAGUUUAUAUUUAUGUGUUCUAGUCAGGCAAGAGUGCUCUUACAGGUGGUGGAUAGGAAAAUAUAUUAAAACACCACCUGUGCAUGGGAGCACAGGCUUGUAAAAGACCUUAUAGAAAAUAGUUUUAUAUGCACAAAAAUGUAUGAAUCAUAGACAGAAAUCACACAUAUAUUCGGGUAUUGUACUUGCAGUCUUAACCAUAGUCGCUGAUCAUUUAUUUUAUUUUAUUGUCAAUUUUCUCAAUCCCUGUGUCUAGACAGUAACUAGCUUUAGUUUUCAGAAAAUUGAUAUUAAUUUUUAAAGAAAAAUGAAAUAUGUCCUUAAAGUUCCACUAAGCUAUUAUUACUCCCCUCACCUUUCUAAUAUUCUAUCUGUAAAACUCAAAGCGUGAAACUGUUCUUGAAGAGGAAUUAUUAAAGAAUGAAAUCUUAUAACUAACUGUCAUGUACACACAAUACUUAGUGUUUACUAGUAUUACUGCUUCUUCCGCCCUAUCUCAUGGGAAGAAAAAAUGUUGUUGUUGUUGCUUUUUGUUUCCUGUAAAGACAAGCAUUGAAUGCUGAGUGAGUUUGCCUGGUUUCCUGUGUGAGGCACUGCCUAGAUGGUUUAAAAAUAUUCUGUAAAAAUAUUCAAAGUCGGUACGUUUUUUUAAUCAUCAUUGAAAUAUGUGUUGCUUCUCUGUGAGACAGUUGCCAGAUACCUCACUGUAAAAUCUAAUAUUGUGUUUAAUUCAAAAUGUUAAGUACACUGAACCCAGUUUUUAUCAACUUGUUAUUAGAACUCAGUUUAUGUAAGUUACCAAUACUUUUCAUUCAAAAAGCUGAUCAACUCAGUUUAUUUUUGUCUUAACUUAUAAAAAGUAAGUAAGCCAGAAGUUUUGCUUCUCAGUGCAGAAGGAUAAAACGAUAUGGUUUGAAAAUGCCACGUCACUACCGUCCUCCUCCCUCGCACAGAUCAGCCCGCAUGUUCAUGGUGCCCACAUUUUUUUCUGGAAUAUGAUGAGCAAACCUGGAGAAGCUUCAGUUCAAGAGAUUGUUGUCAUUGCAGUGAAUGUUUAUGUGAUACCGCACACCAAAGCCUUGAAAUUUCUGAUAAUGGGGAAAAAAGUGAGGGAUGGUGGAAAGAUGUUGAAAGAUCCUGAUUCUCUGCAAAGGUUUAAUAUGUUUGGAAGUAUCCUGGGGCUCAACAGGCUGUCCUCUGGCAGGGCAAGUUCUCGUGUCCUUUUACGAUGUGACGUCUCAGUCUCACAUCUACUCAUUUACUGAGUGUUCGUUUGGUGGUGAGAUCCUCCCGUACUUCAGUCCACAUCUGAAACAAAAUGAGAAAAACAGCAAUCCUUUGAUUAUCUCUGCUGUGCAAAAGUAGCAGUAAUCACAUGCACUGAAUGUGGUAAGCAAUAUGUAUGAUUGGGUGUGCAGUAACAGUUUGCUUACCUGCCCAUCAGGUAUUUCAUUGGUCAAAUGUCAACAUUUUUUACUAUAACAUGCCUUAAUGAAGAUCCUCUGACUGAGGCAUCAAUUUUAAAGUUUUAUCUUUUAUGUACUAUUUUUCUAGAUUUUAACAUUUGAAAAGUAAAAAAUAGGUCACACAUACAGCAAUGGAAAUGUAUACAUUUUACAGAUAUGAACAAUGAAAUAACAGAAAAUUACUAACAGGAAAAAAAAACAAGGCUGGGAACUAGGAUGUCUGGGUGUGUUGAAACACCUCCUGCAAAAGGCAGAAAUGACAAAAUAUAUUCUAAAUAUCAACUUGUUAAAACACUUUAGACACUAUUCCUGUUAUUUCUUUAAGAAAAAAAUAUUAGGACAUAUUAUAAUAACAAUUUUGGGGAGCAUUAAAAUCUUGCACCUAGAUGAAAGUAACUUUAAGAAGUAAUUUGACAUUAAUCCCUCGGAUGCAACAGGGAACUUGACUUUGUGGUGCAUGGACUGGUGUAUGUAUGGAUCAGAAUCAGAAUACUUUAUUAAUCCUUAAGAAAAUAAUUUAAGUGCAUGUAUUUGCUUUUCUACUCACUCUCAGUAGAUUGCUUUCUUAUACUUCAAGGCUUGGGGGAUAAGGAGGUAAUUUAGGACUCAGGAUCUAUGACACACAGUUUAAGUGGAGCCAUGGAUCAAACCACCAACCUUGCCACUAGCAGAUGGUCUGCUCUACCCACUAAGCCACACAGGACUUUAAAAUAUUAAGUUAACUUUGUGCGAAUAGCCUUAAAUUACAUGUCUUGACUGCUGUCCUAAGAGUUGCAAGACUGGAAUACUUGAACUCUCUGUGUAUCUGUGACAUUUUUUGUCUGCUGAUUCUUGUCUGCUGUGUACACAGGAGUGUGGUAGUCCCCUCCAGAUCUGUGCAGACACACACACACACACACACACACACAGAGACACUUCAACACUCCCUUCCCACGGCUCUGACUAUAAAUGCUGUUUGUUAUAAUUGUAUACCACAGGAUGGAUUACGAGUUCUGCUUGUUUGUUGUGUUUUGCUCAUUCUCCAUCACUUACUGUAUCAACAAAAUGUUUACUUCUCUUUGUAGCUCUGUUUUACAGAUCCUUUUUCUUCUGUUCAACCGUUUGUUUCACUUUGUACUUUUGCUACUCAGGCUUCUUAAAUUGUGCUCUUCAGCAGUCAAUAUAUGCCAUUUAAUAAUGUGUGUAAUAUAUUUAUGACAUCAAAUGGAUAGAAAUGAAUAAAACUGUCAUUUAGGAA